rnacentral:rRNA from 1 species
UACCUACGGGGGGCAGCAGUGGGGAAUAUUGCACAAUGGGGGAAACCCUGAUGCAGCGACGCCGCGUGAAGGAAGAAGGGUUUCGGCUCGUAAACUUCUAUCAACCUGGACGAACGAAAUGACGGUACCUGAAUAAGAAGCCCCGGCUAACUACGUGCCAGCAGCCGCGGUAAUACGUAGGGGGCAAGCGUUAUCCGGACUUACUGGGUGUACCGUGUUAGUCGGCGGCAUGGUACUCCAUCUUU